GGAGCCUGGCGGGCCCUGGGUUCUCUAAGAGGUUCUUCUAGAAACAGACCCCUCAGAUGCUUCCUCUCAAUUCAGGACCGAGCGCUCUGUAACUGGAGCAGCCUGGAGGCCAGCUCUGGGGCUGCACAGCCCAGCCAUGAGGAAAAGCCGGCCCAGCUGCCCGCGUGUGGCCUUGACACAGCCCCUGGCACCGUUCUGAUGGCAACUGGCAGUGAGUCUCAAGGCUCAGAGCACAGGACUGGCAUGCAGGGAGCAGACACUCAUCCCAAGAUCCUACUGCUGCUGAGUUCCAUCCGGAGCCUGUCAGAGAGCAGCCGCUGCCAUAGCUGGGUCUC